rnacentral:rRNA from 1 species
UUGGCUUAGAAGCAGCCACCCUUGAAAGAGUGCGUAAUAGCUCACUGGUCUAGUGAUUCCGCGCCGACAAUGUAGCGGGGCUCAAGCGUACCGCCGAAGUCGUGUCAUUCCAGAAUAUAGGGCCAACGCCUUCUGGGAUGGGUAGGGGAGCGUCGUGUGCCGGGUGAAGCCGCGCCGGAAGGCAGUGGUGGACGGUUCACGAGUGAGAAUGCAGGCAUGAGUAGCGAUUCACACGUGAGAAACGUGUGCGCCGAUUGACUAAGGGUUCCUGGGUCAAGCUGAUCUGCCCAGGGUAAGUCGGGACCUAAGGCGAGGCCGACAGGCGUAGUCGAUGGAUAACCGGUUGAUAUUCCGGUACCCGCUGUGAAGCGUCAAACAUCGAACCCAUUAAUGCUAAGGCCGUGAAGCCGCCCUGGAGCCUUCGGGCAAAGGGGAGUGGUGGAGCCGCCGAACCAAGGUGGUAGUAGGUGAGUGAUGGGGUGACGCAGGAAGGUAGUCCAUCCCGGGCGGUGGUUGUCCCGGGGUAAGGGUGUAGCCCGAGUGGUAGGCAAAUCCGCCACUCAUACAGGGUGAGACCUGAUGCCGAGCCGAUUGUGGUGAAGUGGAUGAUCCUAUGCUGUCGAGAAAAGCCUCUAGCGAGUUUCAUGGCGGCCCGUACCCUAAACCGACUCAGGUGGUCAGGUAGAGAAUACCGAGGCGUUCGGGUGAACUAUGGUUAAGGAACUCGGCAAAAUGCCCCGUAACUUCGGGAGAAGGGGGCCACGUCUGGUGAUUGGAUUUACUCCAUGAGCUGGGGGUGGCCGCAGAGACCAGCGAGAAGCGACUGUUUACUAAAAACACAGGUCCGUGCGAAGCCGUAAGGCGAUGUAUACGGACUGACGCCUGCCCGGUGCUGGAACGUUAAGGGGACCGGUUAGCUCAGAUUCGUCUGGGCGAAGCUGAGAACUUAAGCGCCAGUAAACGGCGGUGGUAACUAUAACCAUCCUAAGGUAGCGAAAUUCCUUGUCGGGUAAGUUCCGACCUGCACGAAUGGCGUAACGACUUCUCGACUGUCUCAACCAUAGGCCCGGUGAAAUUGCACUACGAGUAAAGAUGCUCGUUUCGCGCAGCAGGACGGAAAGACCCCGGGACCUUUACUACAGUUUGAUAUUGGUGUUCGGUUCGGCUUGUGUAGGAUAGCUGGGAGACUGUGAACUCUGGACGCCAGUUCAGGGGGAGUCGUCGUUGAAAUACCAGUCUGGUCGUGCUGGAUGUCUAACCUGGGUCCGUGAUCCGGAUCAGGGACAGUGUCUGAUGGGUAGUUUAACUGGGGCGGUUGCCUCCUAAAGAGUAACGGAGGCGCCCAAAGGUUCCCUCAGCCUGGUUGGCAAUCAGGUGUUGAGUGUAAGUGCACAAGGGAGCUUGACUGUGAGACCGACGGGUCGAGCAGGGACGAAAGUCGGGACUAGUGAUCCGGCGGUGGCUUGUGGAAGCGCCGUCGCUCAACGGAUAAAAGGUACCCCGGGGAUAACAGGCUGAUCUUCCCCAAGAGUCCAUAUCGACGGGAUGGUUUGGCACCUCGAUGUCGGCUCGUCGCAUCCUGGGGCUGGAGUCGGUCCCAAGGGUUGGGCUGUUCGCCCAUUAAAGCGGUACGCGAGCUGGGUUUAGAACGUCGUGAGACAGUUCGGUCCCUAUCCGCUGCGCGCGCAGGAAUAUUGAGAAGGGCUGUCCCUAGUACGAGAGGACCGGGACGGACGAACCUCUGGUGUGCCAGUUGUUCUGCCAAGGGCAUGGCUGGUUGGCUACGUUCGGGAGGGAUAACCGCUGAAAGCAUCUAAGCGGGAAGCCUGCUUCGAGAUGAGUAUUCCCACCCACUUGAUGGGGUAAGGCUCCCAGUAGACGACUGGGUUGAUAGGCCGGAUCUGGAAGCACGGUAACGUGUGGAGGUGACCGGUACUAAUAGGCCGAGGGCUUGUCCUC